rnacentral:lncRNA from 1 species
AGGUUGUCAGCAAGAUGAAAAGGACAAGUAUGCAGUUCAAAAUUCAAAAUGUGUAUAAGCUGAGGUUCAAGGUCCUACCUUUGCAGAUUUUCAUAUUUUGCAUGAAUGAAUUCAAAGGUUAUAUGAUGGACGGCAGAGAAAAGAAAAAAAAAACACUUUUCAAUUAUCCUGCUCCUGAAGGAUAAAUGUAAAACAUCUUGUUUUCGGUAAGUUUUAUGCUCUGUUUUGAUAGUGUUAGUGCAUUCAUCUGUCCAGUCUUUCCUCUAAAUUGUAUCCUCUUUUAAGUUUUUGGUGAGUGUUCACCAUGAAUUUCAGUAAGUAACUUGUGGAUUUACAUGUAUAUACUCAAAAUUUAGUACUAAUAUUAAUGGGAUUUUAGCAUGACAUCCUGUCAAAUGCUUGUUAAUCAUGUUUAUGUUCCAGAACAUACAAGUAUUUGGACUGUACUACAGCCCAAUUUUAAGAAGUUGGUCAAGUUUAUUAGAAACAAAUGUACAGUACAGAUCAACAUAACUGAAAUCUUUAAUAGAUAAAUACAAAAAGUUUAAUUGCAGUUGAAAUAAAAACACAGGUUUGGUCGAGCUGGUACUAGACAGUACAAGUAUACUCAAAUGGUCUGACUGUACACAUAUGGUGGGACUGUAAGUUCUUAGGUAUACUUUUAUGUUCUGGACCGUUAACGUAAGGUCCAAAUACUGAUAUGGUCUGGAACAUUUAUACAUGUCUUAAAAUUAAUAUCAAACACAUUGGUGUUUUUGAACUUGGUAAUAAGUUAUUCAAUAGAACUAUAAUGUUUUGAGAUUAUCAAAAUCAAAAAUAUCCCAUUUUUACUUUUAAUAAAGAAGAAGAUUAUUGAUGUAUGUAUAAAUGUAUAUUAAAAUGAGACAGCAAGCCAACAACACAAAAAAUAAGGAUAAAACAAUAUAAUUUUUUUUGUAUCAAUGUUAUAAUUUCCAAUAUGUUACAAAGAGUUCAAGGUAUUUUUUCAUUGAAAUAAAACACAAAUUGAAAUCUGUCAAAAGCUUAAAGAAAUAUUGUUUCUGUUGUCUGCAUUUUGUAUAAUAUAUUGCAAAUUCUUGUGAAUAAUGGAAUGUUAUUAUAGUUGUCUAAAGUUUUAACAUUGAUCUUUAAACUGUAAAUUCAUAAAUUAUUGCGUGCAUUUAUUAUUUCGAUUCUGUCAUUUUAGACUUAAAUGCGAUUUUAAAUUUUACGAUUUUGAGAAAAUCCUGUUUAAUCCAUAUACAAUAUUUCAUAAUGCGAGUUUAAAUUAUUGCGUUUACAACUCUUUUGCAUUUUUCGCAAUAAAAAAAACCUCACAUUAAUUUCUGAAUUUACAGUAUAUAUAUUAUGUAUAUAACUUUGGAAAAUACCCAAAUGUUAUAAAGAAGAAGAAAUUAAUCGAUUGUUAUAUAGUAUUAGAAUAGGAAGAUGUGGUAUAUUGCUAAUUUGACAAUCCUCCAUCAGAGACCAAAGAAUGUAGGAGGUUAGCAACUGAUGACACUGGACAAUCUUGAACAAUCAGUAAAAUCCAUACUGCAUAGCUAUUUUUAUUGAAAAUCAUAUUAUUGCUACAUGUAUGCAAACAAUUUUGUAUAAUACAUUACUUUAGAUUUUAUUGGUUCUUUUUCAGAAGGAUUGAAAUUCACCACCUAAAAUAAAUGGAGAAAACAUAGAAACAAGACCAGAAUAAAUUCAAAGACAAAAGUUGGAUCAGUUAUUAUUUUCAUCACUCAGUCAAUGAUUUGAAGUUCUUUUAAAUAUAAAAAAAUAUUGAAACCACAAUAAUGUCAAAGUUCUGUGCUGGAUGACCAAAAAGUGGACUAUACCAUCAAACAAUGCUGGAUGAUAAGAAACUAUUAAUGUUUUGUGUGGAGGGA